rnacentral:rRNA from 1 species
GAUGAACGCUAGCUACAGGCUUAACACAUGCAAGUCGUGGGGCAGCGGAUGCUUAGCUUGCUAAGUAUGCCGGCGACCGGCGCACGGGUGAGUAACGCGUACCGAACCUGCCCAUCACACAGGGAUAGGCUUGCGAAAGCAAGAUUAAUACCUGAUGGUCUCAAUUUUAUGCAUGUAUGAUUGAGUAAAGCCUUCGGGCGGUGAUGGAUGGCGGUGCGUCCCAUUAGGAAGUUGGCGGGGUAACGGCCCACCAAUCCUUCGAUGGGUAGGGGUUCUGAGAGGAAGGUCCCCCACAUUGGAACUGAGAUACGGUCCAAACUCCUACGGGAGGCAGCAGUGAGGAAUAUUGGUCAAUGGGCGAGAGCCUGAACCAGCCAAGUAGCGUGCGGGAUGAAGGCCCUUGUGGUCGUAAACCGCUUUUAUCAGUGAAUAAAGUGCAUCACGUGUGGUGUCAUUGCAGGUAGCUGAAGAAAAAGGACCGGCUAAUUCCGUGCCAGCAGCCGCGGUAAUACGGAAGGUCCGGGCGUUAUCCGGAAUUAUUGGGUUUAAAGGGAGCGCAGGCGGGAGUGUAAGUCAGCUGUUAAAUAUCAGGGCCCAACUCUGUUAUGCAGUUGAAACUAUAUUUCUUGAGUACGCACAGGGAUGGCGGAAUUCAGGGUGUAGCGGUGAAAUGCUUAGAUAUCCUGAAGAACUCCGAUCGCGAAGGCAGCCAUCCGGAGCGUAACUGACGCUGAGGCUCGAAGGUGCGGGUAUCGAACAGG